CCUACGGGUGGCAGCAGUCGAGAAUCAUUCACAAUGGGGGAAACCCUGAUGGUGCGACGCCGCGUGGGGGAAUGAAGGUCUUCGGAUUGUAAACCCCUGUCAUGUGGGAGCAAAUUAAAAAGAUAGUACCACAAGAGGAAGAGACGGCUAACUCUGUGCCAGCAGCCGCGGUAAUACAGAGGUCUCAAGCGUUGUUCGGAAGCACUGGGCGUAAAGCGUGCGUAGGCUGUUUCGUAAGUCGUGUGUGAAAGGCGAGGGCUCAACCCGCGGACGGCACAUGAUACUGCGAGACUAGAGUAAUGGAGGGGGAACCGGAAGUCUCGGUGUAGCAGUGAAAUGCGUAGAUAUCGAGAGGAACACUCGUGGCGAAGGCGGGUUCCUGGACAUUAACUGACGCUGAGGCACGAAGGCCAGGGGAGCGAAAGGGAUUAGAUACCCCAGUAGUC
rnacentral:rRNA from 1 species